rnacentral:rRNA from 1 species
UGAGGAAUAUUGGUCAAUGGGCGAGAGCCUGAACCAGCCAAGUAGCGUGCAGGAUGACGGCCCUAUGGGUUGUAAACUGCUUUUAUGUGGGGAUAAAGUGAGCUACGUGUAGUUUAUUGCAGGUACCACAUGAAUAAGGACCGGCUAAUUCCGUGCCAGCAGCCGCGGUAAUACGGAAGGUCCAGGCGUUAUCCGGAUUUAUUGGGUUUAAAGGGAGCGUAGGCCGUGGAUUAAGCGUGUUGUGAAAUGUAGACGCUCAACGUCUGAAUUGCAGCGCGAACUGGUUCACUUGAGUAUGCACAACGUAGGCGGAAUUCGUCGUGUAGCGGUGAAAUGCUUAGAUAUGACGAAGAACUCCGAUUGCGAAGGCAGCUUACGGGAGCACAACUGACGCUGAAGCUCGAAGGUGCGGGUAUCAAACAGGAUUAGAUACCCUGGUAGUCCGCACAGUAAACGAUGGAUGCUCGUUGUUAGUUCACUUAUGAAUUAGCGACCAAGCGAAAGCAUUAAGCAUCCCACCUGGGGAGUACGCCGGCCGGU